CUGCAUGGAGCCGACCUUGAAAUACCACCCUUUAAUGUUUGAUGUUCUAACGUGGACCCGUAAUCCGGGUUGCGGACAGUGUCUGGUGGGUAGUUUGACUGGGGCGGUCUCCUCCUAAAGAGUAACGGAGGAGCACGAAGGUUGGCUAAUCCUGGUCGGACAUCAGGAGGUUAGUGCAAUGGCAUAAGCCAGCUUGACUGCGAGCGUGACGGCGCGAGCAGGUGCGAAAGCAGGUCAUAGUGAUCCGGUGGUUCUGAAUGGAAGGGCCAUCGCUCAACGGAUAAAAGGUACUCCGGGGAUAACAGGCUGAUACCGCCCAAGAGUUCAUAUCGACGGCGGUGUUUGGCACCUCGAUGUCGGCUCAUCACAUCCUGGGGCUGAAGUAGGUCCCAAGGGUAUGGCUGUUCGCCAUUUAAAGUGGUACGCGAGCUGGGUUUAGAACGUCGUGAGACAGUUCGGUCCCUAUCUGCCGUGGGCGCUGGAGAACUGAGGGGGGCUGCUCCUAGUACGAGAGGACCGGAGUGGACGCAUCACUGGUGUUCGGGUUGUCAUGCCAAUGGCACUGCCCGGUAGCUAAAUGCGGAAGAGAUAAGUGCUGAAAGCAUCUAAGCACGAAACUUGCCCCGAGAUGAGUUCUCCCUGAGACUUAGAGUCUCCUGAAGGAACGUUGAAGACGACGACGUUGAUAGGCCGGGUGUGUAAGCGCAGCGAUGCGUUGAGCUAACCGGUACUAAUGAACCGUGAGGCUUAACCUUACAACGCCGAAG
rnacentral:rRNA from 1 species